GACGUAGGGCGCGAGCGUUGUCCGGAUUUAUUGGGCGUAAAGAGCUCGUAGGCGGCUUGUCGCGUCGACUGUGAAAUCCCGCGGCUCAACCGCGGGUCUGCAGUCGAUACGGGCAGGCUAGAGUUCGGUAGGGGAGACUGGAAUUCCUGGUGUAGCGGUGAAAUGCGCAGAUAUCAGGAGGAACACCGAUGGCGAAGGCAGGUCUCUGGGCCGAUACUGACGCUGAGGAGCGAAAGCGUGGGGAGCGAACAGG
rnacentral:rRNA from 1 species